rnacentral:snRNA from 1 species
AUCGCUUCUCAGCCUUUUGGCUAAGAUCAAGUGUAAAAGUAAUUUUAAUUUUUUUGGAGAAGUUUUUGCUAUAGGGCGCGUGCGCUCGCCAGACAGACAGAGAGAGACAUAGAGACAGAAAGCGAGAAAUCACCCCCA